AUUGAACGCUAGCGGGAUGCUUUACACAUGCAAGUCGAACGGCAGCGCGGACUUCGGUCUGGCGGCGAGUGGCGAACGGGUGAGUAAUGUAUCGGAACGUGCCCAGUAGCGGGGGAUAACUACGCGAAAGCGUAGCUAAUACCGCAUACGCCCUACGGGGGAACGCAGGGGAUCGUAAGACCUUGCCCUAUUUGAGCGGCCGAUAUCGGAUUAGCUAGUUGGUGAGGUAACGGCUCACCAAGGCGACGAUCCGUAGCUGGUUUGAGAGGACGACCAGCCACACUGGGACUGAGACACGGCCCAGACUCCUACGGGAGGCAGCAGUGGGGAAUUUUGGACAAUGGGGGCAACCCUGAUCCAGCCAUCCCGCGUGUGCGAUGAAGGCCUUCGGGUUGUAAAGCACUUUUGGCAGGAAAGAAACGUCGCGGGCUAAUACCCCGUGGAACUGACGGUACCUGCAGAAUAAGCACCGGCUAACUACGUG
rnacentral:rRNA from 1 species